AGAGUUUGAUCCUGGCUCAGAACGAACGCUGGCGGCAGGCCUAAUACAUGCAAGUCGAGCGGAUGUAGCAAUACAUCAGCGGCGCACGGGAGAGUAACACGUGGGAACCUACCUUUUGGUUCGGAAUAACAUCGGGAAACUGGUGCUAAUACCGGAUAAGCCCUUCGGGGGAAAGAUUUAUCGCCGAAAGAUGGGCCCGCGCUGGAUUAGCUAGUUGGUGAGGUAAUGGCUCACCAAGGCAACGAUCCAUAGCUGGUCUGAGAGGAUGAUCAGCCUCACUGGGACUGAGACACGGCCCAGACUCCUACGGGAGGCAGCAGUAGGGAAUAUUGGACAAUGGGGGAAACCCUGAUCCAGCCAUGCCGCGUGAAUGAUGAAGGCCUUCGGGUUGUAAAGUUCUUUUGGUGGGGACGAUGAUGACGGUACCCACAGAAUAAGCUCCGGCUAACUUCGUGCCAGCAGCCGCGGUAAUACGAAGGGAGCUAGCGUUGUUCGGAAUUACUGGGCGUAAAGGGCGCGUAGGCGGCUCGACAAGUUGGAUGUGAAAGCCCUGGGCUCAACCCGGGAAUUGCAUUCAAGACUGUCUUGCUCGAAUUCGGUAGAGGUUGGUGGAAUUCCCAGUGUAGAGGUGAAAUUCGUAGAGAUUGGGAGGAACACCCGUGGCGAAGGCGGCCAACUGGACCGACAUUGACGCUGAGGCGCGAAAGCGUGGGGAUCAAACAGGAUUAGAUACCCUAGUAGUCC
rnacentral:rRNA from 1 species